rnacentral:rRNA from 3 species
AAAACGACUCUCGGCAACGGAUAUCUCGGCUCUCGCAUCGAUGAAGAACGUAGCGAAAUGCGAUAUGUGGUGUGAAUUGCAGAAUCCCGUGAACCAUCGAGUCUUUGAACGCAAGUUGCGCCCGAAGCCUUCUGGCCGAGGGCACGCCUGCCUGGGUGUCAUGC